CCUUCAGCUCACUCAAAGUCCCUCAUCGCCAUUUUGUGCAGCCAAACAUUUCACAAUCAACGUUUUGUCUUUGUGGACACAGAGAGUUUUGGAGUUCCUGAGUCCUACAUGUGGCUGUGCAGAGAUUGUGGCUCGUCUCACAUAUCAAGAUCAAAGCUUUUAAAAUACUUCAGGUAUCUGCAGAAUUCAGUAGGAUUACAACUAUCCCUUUGGUGUCCAAAUUUAUGGGUCAGCUGGAUCAUUUCUCAACCCAGCUCCUCAGAAUCUUCACAAAGAAAGGAGGAACAGCAACACAGAAGAUGACAAACAUCCUGUCAGUUAUGGAUCAGAAUGACACCAUCGAAAAAAGCGUGAAUGCAUCUUGAAAGCCCUUACUGUUUACAUGAGCGAAGACCCCUCAAACCUUAUGAAGGAGUACUUGGACGUUGAACAUGAUGAAGGCCAAACUUCAAUGCGAAACACCACCCUAGGCAUUUAUGUCGUCGUACAUGAAGGGGCAGAUGCUACAGACCCUUAUGAAGAUGUUGGCAUUAUCAUUGAAGGCGUCCAAAUACUUGAAGACCUGAACAUUGUGGCAAAUGCUUGUUCUGUGAUGCUUGGUCUAAUUUACACUUUAAACUUGGCUUACCCACAAGACCUGAGGUACACUUUUGAAGUAUUUAAAAAGAUUUUUAUGGAGCUAGAUGCAUACAAGCUGUCAAACAAGGUCCAGGUCCUGAAAAAUAAACUCCUUUCAGAAGCGCUGUAAAUUGAGGUCAGGACCAAGAGCCAGGACUUAUGUUUUCUCCAUAAUGUUGCACUGUUGUUUGGCUGUUGCAGUACAUAUAUUUAUGUACAUAAUACUGUUUUUUGUUUUUUUGUUCUUGUGCAAUUAAAAGGAGGCACACGAAGCAAAAGAAGACCGCUAUUAUUUUUUAAGUAUAACACUUGUAUGUGAAUAUUUUAUAAAUCCUUUAAUUUAAAGACAGCUUGCUUUUAUUUAUUUUUAUUUUCUUGUAAUAAGCAGAUUCUUUUCAUUUUGAAAAGAAAAGUUAGUCCUUUGAGAUUACAGAUUUUCAGAAUUGUUAUUGAAUGGAUUCAA